rnacentral:rRNA from 1 species
GAUGAACGCUGGCGGCGUGUCUAAGGCAUGCAAGUCGAACGGUCGAGUUAAUUCCGCAAGGAUUUGACUUGAUAGUGGCAAACGGGUGAGUAACACAUUGGUAACCUACCCCGAAGUUCAGAAUAACGUUCCGAAAGGAACGCUAAUACUGGAUGUGGUCGCGGAUCUUAUGGUCUGCGAGUAAAGACCGUAAGGCGCUUCGGGAGGGGCCGUAUGACUUAUCAGCUAGUUGGUGAGGUAAUGGCUCACCAAGGCUACGACGAGUACCGGGUGUGAGAGCACGACCCGGCUCACUGGGACUGAGACACUGCCCAGACACCUACGGGUGGCUGCAGUCAAGAAUAUUCCACAAUGGGGAAACCCGUGAUGGAGCGACGCCGCGUGUAGGAUGAAGGUC